AUUGCUCGAAAGCCAUCAGGUUUCGAAUAACACGCUCUGUGUCAUCGUUAGCUAAGAAUCUUAGCAUUUUCAACACUCCCCUCUCAAAUUUCAUGUCAAUUAGCCAUGCCUCUGAACUCGCCUUAAACUUCACUCCUGCCUCGCGUAACAUGGUGGCGUUGUAUACCUUCAUCACUGUGUUGUCGUUUCUCGACACUGGAAGCUUGAAGGAUCUAGAUUUUCGAGCCAAAUCAGUGAAAUUUAUGGGUUUCUCCUGAUUAAGGCCGCCUUCUUCAUCUUCUUUUUUUGCGCUUUGAUCCCCGUCCCUCAGACAGCAGAAGCAUCUGCUAAUCCAGAAACAAUACAAGCAAGAGAAGCAAUUGCAGAGCUCUAUGAUGAACACAGAAUCCAAGAGAAUCAUCUUGACGAAGUCUUCAAUAUAUACCUCAUCAAAUGUCUCUUCAUAACAAUGG
rnacentral:misc_RNA from 1 species